UACGGGGGGAGCAAGCGUUGUUCGGAUUUACUGGGCGUAAAGGGCGCGUAGGCGGCGUGACAAGUCACUUGUGAAAUCUCCGGGCUUAACUCGGAGCGGUCAAGUGAUACUGUCGUGCUAGAGUGCGGAAGGGGCUACUGGAAUUCUCGGUGUAGCGGUGAAAUGCGUAGAUAUCGAGAGGAACACCUGAGGCGAAGGCGGGUAGCUGGGCCGACACUGACGCUGAUGCGCGAAAGCCAGGGGAGCGAACGGG
rnacentral:rRNA from 1 species